AUAUGACUCCGAAAUAUUGAUGGAUCAUCGGCUGUCACUUUCUUCCAGACGAUACUGAUUCCAUUGGAAGCUCGGAAGAGACCAAGCCCGAAAUUCAAAAUCCGCUUCUUCGCAUGGAUAUGAAAUAUUCCUGCAAGUUUCGCUUCACGUAAGGAGGAUGUUCUCGCCUUAAAU